rnacentral:hammerhead_ribozyme from 1 species
GUACUGCUGAAGAGUCCCAAACUAGGACGAAACAGCUAGCUGUCCAGUAC